rnacentral:rRNA from 1 species
CAGCCGCCGCGGGAAUACGAAGGGGGCUAGCGUUGCUCGGAAUUACUGGGCGUAAAGGGCGCGUAGGCGGCGCUCCAAGUUAGGCGUGAAAUUCCCGGGCUCAACCUGGGGACUGCGCUUAAGACUGGAGUGCUUGAGGAUGGAAGAGGGUUGUGGAGUUCCCAGUGUAGAGGUGAAAUUCGUAGAUAUUGGGAAGAACACCGGUGGCGAAGGCGGCAACCUGGUCCAUUACUGACGCUGAGGCGCGAUAGCGUGGGGAGCAAACAGGAUUAGAUACCCCCGUAGUCCCUGUCUCUUAUAC